rnacentral:rRNA from 1 species
UAAGGAAUAUUGGUCAAUGGACGCAAGUCUGAACCAGCUAUGCCGCGUGAAGGAUGAAGGCCCUCUGGGUUGUAAACUUCUUUUAUCUGGGACGAAAAAAGCUCUUUCUAGAGCACUUGACGGUACCAGAGGAAUAAGCACCGGCUAACUCCGUGCCAGCAGCCGCGGUAAUACGGAGGGUGCAAGCGUUAUCCGGAUUUACUGGGUUUAAAGGGUGCGUAGGUGGGUCUGUAAGUCAGUGGUGAAAUCUCCGAGCUUAACUCGGAAACUGCCAUUGAUACUAUAGGUCUUGAAUUAUCUGGAGGUAAGCGGAAUAUGUCAUGUAGCGGUGAAAUGCUUAGAUAUGACAUAGAACACCAAUUGCGAAGGCAGCUUACUACGGAUCGAUUGACACUGAGGCACGAAAGCGUGGGGAUCAAACAG